UACCUGGUUGAUCCUGCCAGUAGUCAUAUGCUUGUCUCAAAGAUUAAGCCAUGCACGUGCAAGUUUAAACUGUCUCAGUGAAACUGCGAAUGGCUCAUUAAAUCAGUUAUGGUUCCUUUGAUCGUCACAUCCUACAUGGAUAACUGUGGUAAUUCUAGAGCUAAUACAUGCGGAAGAAGCGCCGACCUCACGGUCUGGCGUGCAUUUAUCAGACCAAGACCAACCCGGGGUUCGCCCCGGUCCCUUUGGUGACUCUGGAUAACCCAGCCGAUCGCACGGUCUUCGCACCGGCGACAGAUCAUUCGAAUGUCUGCCCUAUCAACUUUCGAUGGUAGGUUCUGUGCCUACCAUGGUGGCAACGGGUGACGGGGAAUCAGGGUUCGGUUCCGGAGAGGGAGCCUGAGAAACGGCUACCACAUCCAAGGAAGGCAGCAGGCGCGCAAAUUACCCACUCCCGACUCGGGGAGGUAGUGACGAAAAAUAACAAUACGGGACUCUUUCGAGGCCCCGUAAUUGGAAUGGGUACACUUUAAAUCCUUUAACGAGGAUCUAUUGGAGGGCAAGUCUGGUGCCAGCAGCCGCGGUAAUUCCAGCUCCAAUAGCGUAUAUUAAAGUUGUUGCGGUUAAAAAGCUCGUAGUUGGAUCUUGGGACCGGGCUUGCGGUCCGCCGCGAGGCGUGUCACUGCUCGUCCCGGCCCUCCCCGCCGGAUUCUCCUUGGUGCUCUUAACUGAGUGCCUCGGGGUGCCGGAGCGUUUACUUUGAAAAAAUUAGAGUGUUCAAAGCAGGCCUGGCGCCUGAAUAGUGGUGCAUGGAAUAAUGGAAUAGGACCUCGGUUCUAUUUCGUUGGUUUUCGGAACGUGAGGUAAUGAUCAAGAGGGACGGACGGGGGCAUUCGUAUUGCGGCGGGAGAGGUGAAAUUCUUGGAUCGCCGCAAGACGAACCACUGCGAAAGCAUUUGCCAAGAAUGUUUUCAUUGAUCAAGAACGAAAGUUGUGGGCGCGAAGGCGAUCAGAUACCGCCCUAGUCACAACCAUAAACGAUGCCAACCAGCGAUCCGCCGGCGUUACUUCGAUGACCCGAUGGGCAGCUCCCGGGAAACCUGAGUUUUCGGGUUCCGGGGGAAGUAUGGUUGCAAAGCUGGAACUUAAAGGAAUUGACGGAAGGGCACCACCAGGAGUGGAGCCUGCGGCUUAAUUUGACUCAACACGGGGAAACUCACCCGGCCCGGACACAGUAAGGAUUGACAGAUUGAGAGCUCUUUCUUGAUUCUGUGGGUGGUGGUGCAUGGCCGUUCUUAGUUGGUGGAGCGAUUUGUCUGGCUAAUCCCGAUAACGAACGAGACUCUGGCAUGCUAACUAGUUCGGCGAUCCCGCGCGAUCGGCCGCAACUUCUUAGAGGGACAGCCGGCAGUAAGCCGGACGAGAUGGAGCAAUAACAGGUCUGUGAUGCCCUUAGAUGUCCGGGGCCGCACGCGCGCUACAAUGAAGGCAUCAGCGAGUCUUUCGCCUUCGCCGAAAGGUGCGGGUAACCUGCUGAACCGCCUUCGUGCUAGGGAUCGGGGAUUGCAAUUAUCUCCCAUGAACGAGGAAUUCCCAGUAGAUGCGUGUCAUCAGCGCGCGUUGAUUACGUCCCUGCCCUUUGUACACACCGCCCGUCGCUACUACCGAUUGAAUGGUUUAGUGAGGUCAGUCGAUCGGCCCCUCUCGGGCCGGCAACGGUCUGGAGGAGCGCCGAGAAGCCGAUCAAACUUGACCAUUUAGAGGAAGUAAAAGUCGUAACAAGGUUUCCGUAGGUGAACCUGCGGAAGGAUCAUUA